rnacentral:rRNA from 1 species
UACAGAGGGUGCAAGCGUUAAUCGGAUUUACUGGGCGUAAAGCGUGCGUAGGUGGCUCGCCAAGUCGAUUGUGAAAGCCCCGGGCUCAACCUGGGAAUGGCCGUUGAAACUGGCGAACUGGAGUGUGGCAGAGGGGGGUGGAAUUCCGCGUGUAGCAGUGAAAUGCGUAGAGAUGCGGAGGAACACCGAUGGCGAAGGCAGCCCCCUGGGCUAACACUGACGCUCAGGCACGAAAGCGUGGGGAGCAAACAGG